GUAUGUUGGUGACUUUCACAUUGUAAGUUCUCCAGAAAUACUUGUUAAUUGCACUUUAUGAAGAUAAACUAGAGAUUUGAAAAUGAAUUGGAAUACCAACUAAUAGAGCAUUAGGCUAGUUUUGGUGUUGAGAUGAAGAUAACCUUGGUUUGGAUUACAUUGAGAUAUGAAGAUGAGUUAUAGGUUCUUAAAACUGGAAUGCAGGCAAGGAAGAGUAAGGAAGUGUGUGUUGAAAGUCAUGAAAAUGGCAUAGAAGUGUACAUGGACAACAGAGAUUUAAGGUGUAUCCAUAGAAGUAGGAGAAGAACCAGAAGAUGUGACAAAAGUAAGAGAAUAAGAAGGGCAUACAUCAUAUCAACUCACAAGGGUGAGGCAGG
rnacentral:lncRNA from 1 species